GUUAUCCAAGUUGCCACUAUUCGUGGAAGCAUUUGCUGCUUUAUUGUUUGUGCAAUGUGUUCCGCGUAGUGUGCCUUGAGUAAAAUAGAGUGCUCAAAGCAGGCCUGUGCCUGAAUAUUGAUAGCAUGGAACGAAUAGCCGUGAUGUGUGUUUGAAACAGCACGGUGCAAGCCGUGUAUGUUUUGAAUGCAUAGCACUGACCACGAUACGGUUGUUGGUUACCGUAAUCGGGUAAUGAUUAAGAGGGACAUUUGGGGGCAUUGGUAUUUGGGCGCGAGAGGUGAAAUUCUUGGACCGCUCAAGGAUCAACAAGUGCGAAAGCAUUUGCCAAGAAUGUUUUCAUUAAUCAAGAACGAAAGUUAGAGGUUCGAAGACGAUCAGAUACCGUCGUAGUUCUAACCCUAAACUAUGCCGACCUGGGAUCAGCUCGGAAUAAAUCGAGUUCCAAGUUGGUCCCCCUGGGAAACCUAAAGUUUUUAGGCUCUGGGGGGAGUAUGGUUGCAAGGCUGAAACUUAAAGGAAUUGACGGAAGGGCACCACCAGGAGUGGAGCCUGCGGCUUAAUUUGACUCAACACGGGAAAACUCACCCGGUCCGGACAUCGAUAGGAUUGACAGACUGAUAGAUCUUUCAUGAUACGGUGGUUGGUGGUGCAUGGCCGUUCUUAGUUCGUGGAGCGAUCUGUCAGGUUAAUUCCGGUAACGAACGAGACCAAAAUCUCCAUUAUGGGUCGGUGUACUUUGUUAUGGUAUGCGCUUGGCCUAUGGAGAGACAACUGAUCUAAUUCAGAGGAAGAUUGGCAAUAACAGGUCUGUGAUGCCCUUAGAUGUUCGGGGCUGCACGCGCGCUACAAUGAUGACAACAGCGAGUUUCUAAACCGAAAGGUGCGGUAAUCUUGUAAAUUGUCAUCGUGAUGGGGAUUGAGCCUUGUAAUUAUUGCUCAUGAAAGAGGAAUUCCUAGUAAGCUCGAGUCAUCAGCUCGUGUUGAUUACGUCUCUGCCCUUUGUACACACCGCCCGUCGCUACUACCGAGUGAAUGGUGUCAUGAUGCCUUGGGACUGAAGCGCUACGUAACUUUUGUUGCGCAAGCUGUUUUGAAGCAAGGUAAA
rnacentral:rRNA from 1 species